ACGGGUGCGUAAUACGUAGGAAUCUACCCUAGAGUGGGGGAUAACCCGGGGAAACUCGGGCUAAUACCGCAUAAUCUCUACGGAGCAAAGGAGGGGUCGUAAGACCUUUCGCUAUAGGAUGAGCCUACGUCGGAUUAGCUAGUUGGUGAGGUAAAGGCUCACCAAGGUGAUGAUCCGUAGCUGGUCUGAGAGGACGGCCAGCCACACUGGGACUGAGACACGGCCCAGACUCCUACGGGAGGCAGCAGUGGGGAAUUUUGGACAAUGGGGGAAACCCUGAUCCAGCAAUGCCGCGUGUGUGAAGAAGGCCUUCGGGUUGUAAAGCACUUUUAGUGGGGAAGAAAGGCUUGAGGCUAAUACCCUUAAGCGUUGACGUUACCCAAAGAAAAAGCACCGGCUAACUCUGUGCCAGCAGCCGCGGUAAUACAGAGGGUGCGAGCGUUAAUCGGAAUUACUGGGCGUAAAGCGCAUGUAGGUGGGUAUUUAAGUCGAUUGUGAAAGCCCUGGGCUCAACCUGGGAAUUGCAUUCGAUACUGAAUAUCUAGAGUAUGGUAGAGGGAAGUGGAAUUUCCGGU
rnacentral:rRNA from 1 species